AUUUAACGCUGGCGGCGUGCCUAACACAUGCAAGUCGAGCGAGCAGCGGACGGGUUAGUAAUGUAUGGGGACUGCCUGAUAGACAUGGAUAACUACUGGAAACGGUAGCUAAUACCGCAUACUCACGGAUUACCACUCUGAGAUUAGCUAGUAGGUGAGGUAAUGGCUCACCUAGGCGACGCGCCCUAGCUGGUCUGAGAGGAUGAUCAGCCAGCCUGGGACUGAGACACGGCCCAGACUCUUACGGAGGAAGCAGUGGGGAAUAUUGCACAAUGGGCGCAAGCCUGAUGCAGCCAUGCCGGGUGUAUGAAGAAGGCCCUAGGGUUGUAAAGUACGUUCAGUCGGGAGGCGUUACCGACAGAAGAAGCACCGGCUACUCCGUGCCAGCAGCCGCGGUAAUUC
rnacentral:rRNA from 1 species